UACGAGGGGUGCAAGCGUUGCUCGGAAUUAUUGGGCGUAAAGGGUAGGUAGGUGGUCUCAUUUGUCUGGGGUGAAAGCCUUGAGCUUAACUCAAGAAGUGCCCCGGAAACGGUGAGACUGGAGUCCUGGAGAGGGUCGUGGAAUUCCCGGUGUAGCGGUGAAAUGCGUAGAGAUCGGGAGGAACACCAGAGGCGAAAGCGAGGUCCUGGAUGCCUACUGACGCUGAGACGCGAAAGCCAGGGGAGCGAACGGG
rnacentral:rRNA from 1 species